AACGAACGCUGGCGGCAUGCCUAACACAUGCAAGUCGAACGAAGGCUUCGGCCUUGGUGGCGCACGGGUGAGUAACGCGUGGGAAACUGCCUAUUGGUGGGGAAUAACGACGGGAAACUGUCGCUAAUACCGCAUAAGCCCUUCGGGGGAAAGAUUUGUCGCCGAUAGAUGUGCCCGCGUCCGAUUAGCUAGUUGGUGAGGUAAUGGCUCACCAAGGCGACGAUCGGUAGCUGGUCUGAGAGGAUGAUCAGCCACACUGGGACUGAGACACGGCCCAGACUCCUACGGGAGGCAGCAGUGGGGAAUAUUGGACAAUGGGCGAAAGCCUGAUCCAGCAAUGCCGCGUGAGUGAUGAAGGCCUUAGGGUUGUAAAGCUCUUUCGGGUGGGACGAUGAUGACGGUACCACCAGAAGAAGCCCCGGCUAACUUCGUGCCAGCAGCCGCCGUAA
rnacentral:rRNA from 1 species